rnacentral:lncRNA from 1 species
CUGAAAGAGCGUAUGAAGUUUUAAACUGGACAGUGUUUUAGGAAGGCAUGAUUACGGUUGGACACAAGAGAACCUCUUCAGGUCCCAUAUACCUGGGAGCUCUGUGACAGCUUGUUAAUACUGAGGGUCAGAUGGUUGCCAGGGAUGUUUGCUUGCUGUCCUGAUCUCUAAGGAAGAGUGCUAUCAUUUGGGAAGACCACAUCAGGAAUGAGUAGACUACGUGGUGUGCAUUGCUAGGUGAACCAAAUUAGAGUAGCAGCUGGGAAGAGUGGGCUGGAGAUGUUGGCAGACUGUGGCAAAAGUGACUUACCAACCGAGUGGUUGGCAUGCCCAGGAGGACAUGGUGUCUAGAGAGAAGACAUCUUUGCAGAUACACCUGUGUUCUGCAUGUGUGCUAAGAUUAGCUGUUUGAGGAGCAGUGAAUAGACUCCUGGAGUGAGUGAAUUCAGUGUGUUAAGCUCCAUGGCUACAGGCAACACUGAUCACACUGCACAGCAGUGGUUUCAUCUUUCACAGGAUCUAAUCUGACUCAAAACUUGUGACAAACUGUUCAGUAAGGGGCAGGGCAACCUCUUAAUCAGCAUUAGCAGUGGUGCAACAUUGAACAGCAAUUACUUGAAGAAUUUCUUUAUGAGCACUGGCAGAGUCUUUACACUGCACACCACUGCUGACCCGAGAAAUGACCCACAGGAACUACUGGCAAAAGGAGCAAAAAGGAACGUCAUUUGUUGAGGCUACAAGUGAAAAUUCUUUUCCUUCCUUAGCUGCCCUCAGCUGAUCCAUUGGGAUCUUCUGAAGAUUAAAUCAGAAGUGAUGUCAAACUUCACCAAGCUGACA